rnacentral:lncRNA from 1 species
GUAAGUUACGGCAUUACUAUACAAAUUUUUAUCUCUAGAGAACGGCAUUCUCCGAGCUAUCGAAUAUUUAUUUGAUCAUCUGGAAAAUCGCUAACAUUAAGUAUUCUCCAAAAAAUUUUUUCUCCAUCUUAUCACUUCGCUACUAUCCAAAAUUUUAGUUGAUACCCGAUAAUCGUACAGCGCCGAUUGACGAAAAGACAUUCGUCUCCGUUUCGACUUCCAAGAACAUGUCGACCGUCGGCUGUAGGUCAUUGCCCUUCCGACGAGGUGUUUUAGGUGAUGGCGACUUGUAUCCAGAACUAAAAACACCAGCGAGAUUUAACUCCACCAGAUACCGAUACUUCCACCUGAUUAACUCGUAUUUUCCAACCCUCUCUGGUGUCCCGUUAUAUUUACUAGCUCCAUUUUCCAUUACCUUCCACCAUCGACUUAUUCUUAUCUCUUCCUCCUAAUAGAAGAGGGUCAGUUUUUUUUUACUUUUUCUGUUCAGAUAAAAUGCCAAC